ACUCAGGGGAGACUGGUCAAAUUUGCGGAAAAUUCGCGGUGAUUGGACAAAAUUGCAGCGCUGUGCAGAAUUUGCGGUGAUUGGUUGAAUUUGCGUUAAUAGUUGCGAUCGCAACAUCGCAAAUUC